rnacentral:rRNA from 1 species
GACGGAGGGUGCAAGCGUUGUUCGGAUUGACUGGGCGUAAAGGGCGUGUAGGCGGUCGGCCAAGUCUGAUGUGAAAGCCCGAGGCUCAGCCUCGGAAGUGCGUCGGAAACUAGUCGGCUGGAGCGCGAUAGAGGAGGGUGGAAUUCCCGGUGUAGCGGUGGAAUGCGUAGAGAUCGGGAAGAACAUCAGUGGCGAAGGCGGCCUGCUGGGCUGUUGCUGACGCUGAGGCGCGACAGCGUGGGGAGCAAACAGG